rnacentral:tRNA from 1 species
UCUAAUAUGGCAGAAUAGUGCUUUGGAUUUAAACCCCAAAUAUAAAGCCAAUAGACUUUUUUUAGAA